rnacentral:lncRNA from 1 species
UCCCAGGUGCUAGGAGAGACUCUCCCUGGAAGUGCGGGGCAUGUGAUGGGCUAUUCACCCACCUGGACACCUGGGGCGAAGGUGUCAAACUUGUGGGGCACCCGGUGGGCUCCACUCACCUGUAAUUCACCUCUAAUUCCCCUGUGGUGAGAACAUAAAACAGAGUGCAAUGUACUUGUGAAACCAUCCUGAGAUCUUGCACUUGGAAGACCUGGACAGCUGCCAUUGCCCAGACGAUGCAGAAAGACUUGGACAGGAACAUCUGCCUGAGACCCAGGCAGGGGGAGAAGGUGGGUGUCAGGAAACAUCCCAACGCCAGUAUUCGGGAUGCCGGGAGAGAACAGGGGGCACACAUCCAAUGUUGUAUUUCAACAAGUCACAGGACUUUUGAGUCAGCUCUGAACUGGUUUGACCACAGAGAAAGGAUGACUCUUAUGCCUAGAAGAAAAAGAACACAAGCAUGAAGUCAUGUUUUGGGCUGAGAGGAAUCAAAUAUCUUCUUGGAAGGGACCAGCCGCGUUUGGUGGAAAUGAGUUCUGCAGUGCACUGAAAACCCAGAGCCUUCCAGUGACAGACCCCAGACAAGAACAAACACUUCCAAAGGCACCCUCCAGACGGGCCCACCAUACCCAAUUGCUUCAAGGAGGCCUCUGUUCAUUAAAAUAAA